AUACUACUCCCUCCGUUUCGAAUUACUUGUCGUAGAUAUGGAUGUAUCUAGAUAUAUUUUAAUUCUAGAUACAUCUAUUUCUUCGACGAGUAAUUUGGAACAGAGGGUAUCUG
rnacentral:pre_miRNA from 1 species